rnacentral:lncRNA from 1 species
GAUGCACUUCAAAAAACUGCAGAGAGCGGCAUCCAUACCCCAGACACACAAUCCCUCGAGAGUGACUCUAAAUCUUCAUCUUCAAAUGCAAAUGCUAAGAGGAAUGAAUCAGAUGAAUCAGCUAAGGGCAACACAGACAGUAGCAGUUCAGGAGAAAGAUUUUUCACAUCUGGUUUGCCACAGCAGAAAACUUUCUUUUUCAUAAAUGAGAAUGAAUGGAAGGAGUUACGGCAACAUCAGUCAGGAAGACUAUUUAAAGGACUGCAGUGGACAAAUAUAAUUGCUAGUGGAAUCAGAACCCUUAAUCCGUACUGCAGUUUUGGAUUUCGGAGACACAGUGUGAAAAAACUCUCUUCAAGAUCAAAGGCACCGGUUUUCAGGUGUAUGGGGUACUGCAGAUUUCAGGACUGCGCUGUCACUGUGGAUGUGGUGGUUUAUGACGAAGAGACACUGAAAGCAGAAGUCGUUUUUAAAGGAGGUGAGGUCUGCCAUAAUAACAAAGAGCUGAAAAGGCGGCCUGUGCGUGCACAAAGUGCUGGAGAACUCCUCAAAAACAAAUUACCAAGGAGCUUGUACUUGGAGUCUUUACAGAAAGUGCCACAAAAGGUGAUCCAAUCUGGCAACAGGGAUGAUGCUCCAACAAAAGAAGUCUUGAAAAACAUUGCAUGGUCUGAAAGAAAAGCCAGUAGAGCAGAUCCCAACGAGUUGAUGAGCUUACAAAAGAUAAUUCAACAGUAUCAGGACACUGAAAAGGAUGUACUGCAGAAGAUUCUGAUGCAUCCAAAGGGCAUAAUGCUGUGGUCUAAGAAAACCUUGUCAGUUUUUCAUCAAAGAUGCAAAGAAGACAUUAUGUACUUUGAUGCCACUGGAAGUAUAAUAAGAAAAGAAAGUGCUGGAAGGCCACCAUAUUAUGUGUAUGGGUUGGUUGUCAGAAACCCAUCCAAAGGUGCUUCUCCUCUUCCAGUUGCUACAUAUGUCACAUGUGACCACACUACUGCCUCUGUGACAUACUUCUUGCAGGCCUUUCAGACUGAUCUAGUAAGAGCAUUUGGUAAUCGGGCCUACAACAGGCCUGUCAUGUUCAUGUGUGAUGGAUCCCUACUCCUUCGAUCCAUUUCCAUGACAUUCUGCAGAACAAGUCUAGAGGAUCUGCUGCAGAAGUACUAUGUCUUACUCACUGGCCAGCAUUCAGCAAAGGAAUUCAACAUUCCCAUUCUUCAUCGAUGUUUGAGCCAUGUCAUGAAAAAUGCCAAGGACCUUUGUAAAAAACACAUUCCAGAGAACUACAGGCUUGGAAUGCAUGUGUUUGGGCUCCUUGCAUGCUGUGAUAACUUAAAAGACAUGGAUGAUGUUGUCCAUAGUGCAGCAAUAGUGUUUUGCAGUCCUUGUAGUGGAAGGAACGUAACAAAACACUACAACAACUUGAAAAUCCUUAUGCAAAAAAGGGGGACUCUGGAUUUGGAUGAAAAGACUGUGAUUGCUGAGGACUACAAGGUUAGCUAA